UGGGGGGCUAGGGGAGUGAUAGCAUUAGGAGAAAUACCUAAUGUAGAUGACGGGAUGAUGGGUACAACUAACCACCAUGACACGUCUAUGCUUAUGUAACAGACUUACACAUUCUGCACAUGUAUCUCAGAAUUUAAAGUAUAUAUGUAAAAAAAGAAUACUAGAUAUACUGAAUACUAGAAUACUACGUAUUAACAUUGGGAAGGUGUAAGUGAUAUAUAUUGGGUUAACACAUAAGUUGCUUAAAACACAAGUUGCAGAACAGAAUAUGCAGUAUGAUUCUAUUAGUAUAAAUAGAGGAUUUCUGUAACUAUGCUUAUGUAAGCACAGAAAAUAUUCAGUAGAAUUCAUAAAGAAGCGAAUGAGCAGAUCAUUAUAGAAGAGAGAGAGCUAUUUUUGAAUAUUUAUAUUUUCUAAAUGUUAAUAGCAAUCAUGUAAUAUGUUUAGAAUUGAGAAAAAAACUAUUGUAGUUUAAAUAUUGUAGUGCAUCUCUGAAACAUUUGAGCUUUGUAAAUGACCAUUUAUAUAUCUUACAAUGCUAUGUAAAUGAUAAUUAUUCUCUCAUCAAUAUUUAAAAAAUAUUUUAGUUAGUAAUAUAUUAUAAAACAUGAUUGGCACCUGAGAAAAAAAGAAAAAAGAAAGAAACCACCUAAUAAUGCAAUAACUAUCAUUAUAGUAACAUUUAACUCAUAAUAAAUUCAUUACAGUCAAUUACACAAUUAAAGAAAUAAUGUGGUAGUAUGAGUCGUAAGGUAAAUAAAUAGAGAAAUAUAUUACACAAAUUAGAUUAUGUGUGAAACAAUGGUGGAUUAAAGAGUUCAUUUAUUGGAAUGAGCUAAAAAGAAAAAUCACAUGCAAAAGGGAUAAAAACAUACAUUUUAGCUUUCAUGGUAAAUAACAAAGAAGUAGAUAAUCAUUUAUUCGUUCAUUUAAUAGUCAUAGUGGUGAUAUUACUCAUAUUAAAUUCACUAAAUGAUAAUGUGGCUGUGAGAUGCAGUGUUAGAAAUUCUGAUUUAAUUUUUAUAUUUUAUAUUAUUUGAGCAUUAAUUAACUUGGAAGCAUUUGUCUUUUGUUCUAGUAAACAUUUUAAAUAAAAAAAAAUGUCAGUUUUGUUGCUGUCACAAUGAUAGUAUAGGAUUAAGGAUUAGAGUAUUCACCUAGAUCUAAUGAGGAAUUUUAAUACUAUUUAAACGAAUUAGCUGUAUUUUUGUGGAUUUCAGUUUUGGUUUUGCUUUGCAGAAAUAAUAAAUAGAGUAUAUUUUGAUAGCAUUAUGGAAAGCAGUAAGUUGCAGCCUUUAGAUAACUUCUGAAAACCAGUAGAAUGCUUUCCUUUACUUGCAAAUGAGACCUAUGUAUAAAUUAACUUAUAAAACAAAAACGUAAAAUGAUAUGAAUUGAUACAUCUAGAUGUGUAAGAGGACCUUUAAGAGCAUGGCAACUGAGAAACCCUUUCACAUAUUGGUGAGAUUACAAAUGGCAGGAGAUUAUAGGGAUUAUUUAAAGGAAUUCCAGUAUCUAUGGAGCAGGAGGCAUUCCUAUGGGUGAGCCUGGUGUGCUUUAUAGUUGCAGAGACAUUUCAAUGUGGUCAUUGGGUCAGAUUGGAAAAGAGAGUUCCUUUAGGGGGACAAAUAUGUUCUUAAGUUAGCAUUGUGAAUCUCUGUAUAAAACUGGGAUGACUUUAUAUCAACACAGAUCCCUUCAUAGAAUUUGUGUGCCUGUAGGGUGACACUCACCCUGUUUAAGCAAUCAGCAGAGAUCAUUUAUUCCGACUGUCUCAUAUUAUGCACGAAGAAAAUAGAACCUACCCAAUGAAUAAACUUUGAAAUAGUGGUGCAUUUUAGAAGACUGUUCUGUAGAAUCUUAAGUAAAUGUAUAAUUUAUAUAUAAAUAAAUAUAUAAAUGCAUAAUUGUAUCCAGAUGCAGGAUUUAGAGAUAAAUCUGACUUGUCUGACUCACUCAGAUAUUUAGCAGAUCUAGAUCACUAUUUUUUUCCCAUUGUAGAAAUGAUGUUUUAUUUUCCAAGAAAACAGUAUAAUAAUGGAAAUAAUAUAUUUUCUUUAUUUAAAUUAAGAGAUUUAAUCUUAAGGAUUUUAAAUUAGCUGUCCUAAAUUAUUGUUAAUUAUUUAUAUGUUUAAAAUUAGAGUUUUAAUUUUAUGUAUAUAAACUCAUUUAUAUGAAUUAUAUUCCUAGAUAAGCUCAAUUUAUCUUAGUUUUAUAAUCCAAAAUUAGAAAUUAUCCAUUAUACUAGCAUUAGAAACAGAAAUUGAAUCAGUUCUUCCCCAGUCCCAUGGGCUUUUAUAAUUCCCAUGAAACUCAGUGGGAAUUUUCCAGUGUGUUGUUGAAAAAAGUGGGAUAAUUAAGAACUACCAUAUGAAAUAUUAUACAUUAGUUUUAUGGCAUUCGUUUUUAUUUAAUUAUGUUUGUGAAAUAACAUCAAUUUUUAUCUUUACCAAAGUAAUACAUAUUAAUUGCUCUCAAUAUAGCAAAUACAUAAGACUAAAAGGAAGUGAAAUAAUUAUAAUCUCAGUUCUGGAGAACUGUGAACAGGCUGGUAUACAUUUUCUAGUUAUUUUUUCUAUUUAUGUGUCUGAAGGAUAGCUAUAAUUGAAUAGUAUCUCAUUCUAUAACGCUAUGUAGUGAUUGCUUUUUGGAUACGUCCUAAUACACCUUUGCUAUAAGAAUUCAAUAUUUGUCUAACAUUAUUCUUAAUGGAUUCAUCAUUUUUCAUGUAAUUAUGCCUUAGGUGCUGGACAAAGAUCAGACUAGGUUUGAGGAAUGCUGAAAAUGAAAUUUAUGGAUAUCUAUUACUUCUACUCAUAAGCUUUAUCAAGCUAAAAAAGGUCGUCACUAUGCUUAUUGUUCAACUGCUAUCAACUUUCAGUGAAACAACAGAGACAGAUUAAGGUCAAGAGCACCAACUUCUGCAAGCUAAGAAGACCAAGACCAUGGUCCUGGCAUCUAGCAGGAGCGUCAUGCUGUGUCAACUCAUGGUGAAAGGCAGAAAGGCAAGAUAAGGUGAGGUUAAACCACUCUCAUCAUAACUAACUGACUCCAGUAAUGAUCACAUUAAUUUAUUUGUAAAAGCAGAGCUGGCCAGGUGCAGGCACUCACGCCUGUAAUCCCAGCACUAUGGAAGGCCAAGGCGAGUGGAUCACAAGGUCAGGAGUUUGA